GUGGGGGCGUGGUCAAGCAUCGGUCUGUGACAGGAGGGUGGAGCCGGGGAAGUAAACCGCUCCCUAUUUUAAGAGGCUGAGAGAGAGCAGAGGGAGCGCGACCCGGGAGUGGAGGCUGAGAGUGUGUCUGUGUGCUGCGAGUUCUUUUAAACUGAAAAGUUUAUUAAUAAAAUACGCAGUUACUACCUCCAAA